AGUGAACGCUGGCGGUAGGCCUAACACAUGCAAGUCGAACGGCAGCACAGUAAGAGCUUGCUCUUACGGGUGGCGAGUGGCGGACGGGUGAGGAAUACAUCGGAAUCUACUUUUUCGUGGGGGAUAACGUAGGGAAACUUACGCUAAUACCGCAUACGACCUACGGGUGAAAGCAGGGGAUCUUCGGACCUUGCGCGAUUGAAUGAGCCGAUGUCGGAUUAGCUAGUUGGCGGGGUAAAGGCCCAGCAAGGCGACGAUCCGUAGCUGGUCUGAGAGGAUGAUCAGCCACACUGGAACUGGGACACGGUCCAGACUCCUACGGGAGGCAGCAGUGGGGAAUAUUGGACAAUGGGCGCAAGCCUGAUCCAGCCAUCCCGCGUGGGUGAAGAAGGCCUUCGGGUUGUAAAGCCCUUUUGUUGGGAAAGAAAAGCAGCAGGUUAAUACCCCGCUGUUCUGACGGUAACCAAAGAAUAAGCACCGGCUAACUUCGUG
rnacentral:rRNA from 1 species